CCAGUCGUGCUGGCACUCGUGGAGGAGUCUCUCCCGCGUGCCGGCGAUCGCUUCCCAUUCAGCACAGACAUGGUGCCCGUACACGUCCCAUGCGGACGCUUCUGCCGGACGCACGCACAGAAGCAGCGGGUCGCAGCGACUAACCCCACUUUGCAGGGCAGCAGGCCAGGAGCAGCGCGCAGUCGGAUGCCCCAUCUCCGCAGAGCAGGGACAGCCUCCACUGAAAGCCUCUAACAGCCUAAUCACRGAGAGUUACCUCCCGGAGCACGGUUCAGAAACGUCGGAAACGAGUGUCUGCUAUUCAGUUAUAGUCUCUGCUUUAUUGCAGUCAGUGCAAAUCAGACUUUACAGUUAACUUACACGUGUUUUUUCUCUGCUGCCUUUCCCCUUUGCUUCUAGCAAUUGUGCUUGUGUCUCCCCUUACUAUUUGUUUAAUAACAGAGAGGAAAAAAAGAGGGAGACUCAAUCUGAUGUGGGAACAYUUUCUCCUUUGUAUCAAAGAACCAUCUGCUAAUUUACAAAAUACAAACAAAGUUCCUGGAUGUGCAAGAGCUCCUGUCGAGCAGCCAGGCACAAGCAGUGCCUGCGCCGCGCCAGGGAAGGUUUGUGUUUGUUCUGGAACGCGGAGCUCUCGGCCUUCUUUUAUCUUUGCGUAUUUUUCCUCCUUUCUCUCAUUUUAUUGAUCUGAGUUCAGCAUAGCCAAUUCACUCUAGCAAAAUAAUAAAUAUGGAACAUUUAUGGAAUGUUUUCCUAUUAUAAAAAGCRCUAUUGUAGACAGGAACAGAAAUUAUACAGAGCAGCAACGAUUCUGCUGGCCAGUGCAGGACCAGCUCACAGCCCUGCCYCCUCCAACCUCCGGGUUUGAAGCCACCGUCACCGUCUGCCCUCUGUUUUCYGAGCAGUUGGGUGACACAAGAGUCAAAUUAGUCCACCCACUGUUUUGAUGCUCUCUCCCCCGCUCCUUCGUGCACCACGCAGGCCAAGGCACAAUGCAACACUCAGGAGACAGCUCAGCCUUGUCCUUUCUCAGUUGUUCUGCAAGGUAGAAAAAGAAAAAAAGAAGGCGAAAAGAGAGCGAUACCGCCAGUGCUCUUCAUCUGCCGCAAGCAGAGCGCCCGGCGGCAGCUGCUGCGGUCAGGCAGCUCUCCGUGGUCUCACCAGAGCUCGUGAGGACAAAUGGCACCUCACGGAGACCGGGAGCAGAAUUCCUCCACCGGGGAUUCAGAGCUGCUGAAAUGAUCCUCUAGCCAGGAAUGCUGCAUGAGCGGCUGCCCGUGGACUGGUGCCAGCACUGCACUGGAAACUGGAAAGCAGCAGGGGCUGGCUUGCACCCGCGUCUCCUCUCAGACACAGAUAAAAAGACGGAGCUGUUUGCUGGCGACUACCGACCUCAGAACUGCAGACCUUCUCCCGGCUGCCCCUGCGGACACACCCGCGCACGAUGCCAAGCUGAGCUUCCUAUUCCUCUCGCCGGGUUUUGAGAAAGCCAUGCUGAGAGCUGCGAAACAUCAAUUUUAACCCUGAACGCAUUUCUCAAAAGAAAAUUUUUGUGCAUUUUUGUAGCAGAUCACCCAAUAAUAGCACACAGUUCAAGCAACUAACGGAGCACAAGUCUGCUUCCAAUGUGUCAGAUAGUAAUUGUGCUGUAACACCACAGUGCAUACAUGAAUAAAUACAAUUCUAAAUUCA
ensembl:lncRNA